GAUGAACGCUGGCGGCGUGCCUAAUACAUGCAAGUCGAGCGAACAGACGAGGAUCUUGCUCCUCUGACGUUAGCGGCGGACGGGUGAGUAACACGUGUAUAACCUACCUAUAAGACUGGGAUAACUUCGGGAAACCGGAUCUUAUACCGGAUAAUAUAUUGAACCGCAUGGUUCAAUAGUGAAAUACGGUUUUGCUGUCACUUAUAGAUGGUUCCGCGCCGCAUUAGCUAGUUGGUAAGGUAACGGCUUACCAAGGCAACGAUGCGUAGCCGACCUGAGAGGGUGAUCGGCCACACUGGAACGGAGACACGGUCCAGACUCCUACGGGAGGCAGCAGUAGGGAAUAUUCCGCAAUGGGCGAAAGCCUGACGGAGCAAAGCCGCGUGAGUGAUGAAGGUCUUCGGAUCGUAAAACUCUGUUAUUAGGGAAGAACAAAUGUGUAAGUAACUAUGCACGUCUUGACGGUACCUAAACAGAAAGCCACGGCUAACUACGUG
rnacentral:rRNA from 1 species